GACGUCCUAGCUACAUUGUUAGCCAGACUCCAGCCUUCACCGUUCCCCGUAUGGGCUUCUCCUCUGGCCGGUUCCGUGUGUCCGCCGACUUCUCGGAGUGCAGCUAGUCGCUGAGCACGGGCCUUAUGACUGACCACAUCUGAGCGGUAGGUCACGUUAACUGUUUUUAAACUAAUAUGUAAACUUGCGUGGGUUUAAUUGUAUGUUCUUUGUGUAGCAGAUGUCGGGCGUAACAGGGAACGGCAACAUCAAGGCGUCUUGGUCCCAGUUCCGACGACCGCUGCUGUUUUGUCUUGGUUUGUUUGUUUAGUUCUGUUUUGUGUUUGUGUUGGUUUCAUUCCGUUUGU